AAGUCAUGAUGAAGACACUUCCUUAACCAAUCAUUCAAUUUCUCCCAAGCCUCAUGAAAUGGCUCUCCAUCAUUUUGAGAGAAUCCUAAUAUGGCCGUUUUUAUUU